CAGAUUAUAGCUUAUUUAAAGCUUAUUUUUUACAUUAAUAAGAAAUUCUUGUUGAUUUAAUCUGA
rnacentral:tRNA from 1 species